rnacentral:rRNA from 1 species
AUACGGAGGAUGCGAGCGUUAUCCGGAUUUAUUGGGUUUAAAGGGUGCGCAGGCGGGCGAUUAAGUCAGCGGUGAAAGGCUCGGGCUCAACCGGAGCAGUGCCGUUGAUACUGGUUGUCUUGAAUGCGGUCAAGGCCGGCGGAAUGUGGCGUGGAGCGGGGAAAUGCAUAGAUAUGCCACAGAACACCGAUAGCGAAGGCAGCUGGCCGGGCCUGCAUUGACGCUGAGGCACGAAAGCGUGGGGAUCGAACAGGAUUAGAUACCCUGGUAGUCCACGCUGUAAACGAUGGACACCCGUUGUCGGCGACAGACAGUCGGCGGCCAAGCGAAAGUGAUAAGUGUCCCACCUGGGGAGUACGGUCGCAAGGCUGAAACUUAAAGGAAUUGACGGGG